rnacentral:rRNA from 1 species
CCUUUCGGUGGGGAACAACCUCGCGAAAGCGGGGCUAAUACCGCAUAACAUUCCGGUCACCGAGGUGACCGGAAUCAAAGCCCGCAAGGGCGCCGGAGGAGGGGCCCGCGGCCGAUUAGCUUGUUGGCGAGGUAACGGCUCACCAAGGCGAAGAUCGGUAGCCGGUCUGAGAGGACGGCCGGCCACACUGGAACUGAGACACGGUCCAGACUCCUACGGGAGGCAGCAGUGGGGAAUCUUGCGCAAUGGGCGAAAGCCUGACGCAGCGACGCCGCGUGGGGGACGAAGUCCUUCGGGGCGUAAACCCCUUUCGACCCGGACGAAUUCCCGGGCAACCGGGAUUGACGGUACGGGGAGAAGAAGCCCCGGCUAACUACGUGCCAGCAGCCGCGGUAAAACGUAGGGGGCCAGCGUUGCUCGGAAUUACUGGGCGUAAAGGGUCCGUAGGCGGCGCGGCAAGUCGGGAGUGAAAUCCCGGGGCUCAACUCCGGGGCUGCUUCCGAAACUGCCGUGCUAGAGUGCGGGAGAGGCGAGUGGAAUUGCAGGUGUAGCGGUGAAAUGCGUAGAUAUCUGCAGGAACACCAGUGGCGAAGGCGGCUCGCUGGACCGCAACUGACGCUGAGGGACGAAAGCUAGGGGAGCAAACAGGAUUAGAUACCCUGGUAGUCCUAGCCCUAAACGAUCAGGACUUGGCGUGAGCCCCGUUCGGGGUUCGUGCCGCAGCUAACGCGAUAAGU